GUCGCGGCAACGACAGCUGGCCGGGCCGAGCUGAGGAAGGAUGCGUGUGCAAAGGAGUUUGAGGCCUUGAAGGAGUGCUUCACAAAGGCAGCGAAGAGGACAAGGAGGUGAAAGCACUGGGAACAAUUCAGGGGACUGGAGCUUAGAUGUACAGUUUCUUGCUGGUGGCUGUGCAGCUGUAAUCAGGUAGUUCCACAACAUGAGGACCCACAUAAUGUAUAAUUGUUAAAUCAGAAGGCACCAGGAGUUUAAUCAUCAAAUAAUCAAGCUCCUCCCCAAGGUCUUUCCCACCAUGCAUGUAAAUACAUUUUCAGAAACUUUGUAAAUAAAACUCCAAAAUGGGA